rnacentral:rRNA from 1 species
GAUGAACGCUGGCGGCGUGCUUAACACAUGCAAGUCGAACGGAAAGGCCCCUUUGGGGGUACUCGAGUGGCGAACGGGUGAGUAACACGUGAGUAACCUGCCCUUGACUUCGGGAUAACUUCAGGAACCUGGGGCUAAUACCGGAUAGGAAUCCUUGCUGCAUGGUGGGGGUUGGAAAGCUUCGGCGGUUUUGGAUGGACUCGCGGCGUAUCAGCUUGUUGGUGGGGUAGUGGCUUACCAAGGCUUUGACGGGUAGCCGGCCUGAGAGGGCGACCGGCCACAUUGGGACUGAGAUACGGCCCAGACUCCUACGGGAGGCAGCAGUGGGGAAGAUUGCACAAUGGGCGGAAGCCUGAUGCAGCAACGCCGCGUGCGGGAUGACGGCCUUCGGGUUGUAAACCGCAUUCAGCAGGGGCGAAGCUUGUGGUGACGGUACCUGCAGAAGAAGCACCGGCUAACUACGUG